GAAAGUCAAUUCGACAACUCUUUUACGUGGCUUUACCCGAGUCUUCAUGACAGCAGGAGAAAUGAGUUGUGUUGGCGACCAUCACACAAUGCUGGCCUCAGAUGAUGUGCUGCCCCCUCCUGGUGACAUCCAGGUCCUGUUGCUGACAUUAGAUUCAGUGUCUCUGAGCUGGAGUUCUCCUCAGGGGCUGACAGGACCACAGACAUUCAGAGUGAC